rnacentral:rRNA from 1 species
AUUGAACGCUGGCGGCAUGCCUAAAACAUGCAAGUCGUGCGGUAACAGGGAGAAGCUUGCUUCUCUGCUGACGAGCGGCGGACGGCUGAGUAACGCGUGGGAAUCUGCCCCAAAGUGAGGGAUAACUGCCCGAAAGGGUGGCUAAUACCGCAUAUGGUCUUCGGAUUAAAGCUAUUAGCGCUUUGGGAGGAGCCCGCGUAAGAUUAGAUAGUUGGUGAGGUAAUGGCUCACCAAGUCGACGAUCUUUAACUGGUUUGAGAGGAUGAUCAGUCAGACUGGAACUGAGAAACGGCCCAGACUCCUACGGGAGGCAGCAGUUAGGAAUAUUCCACAAUGGGCGAAAGCCUGAUGGAGCAACGCCGCGUGGAGGAUGAAGGCCUUCGGGUUGUAAACUUCUUUUCUAUGCGAAGAAUAUGACGGUAACAUAGGAAUAAGGGUCUGCUAACUACGUGCCAGCCGCCGCCGUAA